AGAGUUUGAUCAUGGCUCAGGAUGAACGCUGGCGGCGUGCCUAACACAUGCAAGUCGAACGAACCUGAUUCUUCGGAUGAAAGGUUAGUGGCAAACGGGUGAGUAACACGUGGGUGACCUGCCCCGAAGUGGGGGAUAACUGUUGGAAACGGCAGCUAAUACCGCAUGUGCUCGAUGAUUCGGUUCAUCGAGUAAAGUUUUGGCGCUUCGGGAGGGGCCUGCGGCCGAUUAGCUAGUUGGUAGGGUAAUGGCCUACCAAGGCGAUGAUCGGUAGGGGGCGUGAGAGCGUGACCCCCCACACUGGGACUGA
rnacentral:rRNA from 1 species